rnacentral:lncRNA from 1 species
AAGGUUCCAAUGACAUUCGGAACGAAACUCACACCUUCUCUGGAAAAACCAGUUGCGGAUAUGAGCCUUUUGUCGUUAGAUAAUUGGUUCCUUGAUGUAUCUAACAGCUAGUAGAUCGGAUAUUAUGUUUUCUGUUUGUUAUUGUGCACGGUUGUCACACCCCAAAACCAAGAACGGCGGAAACGUUCUGGGGCGGAGGACGUCAUGUAUAGUAUCACAACACAGUAAAUGUAAAUAAGCAAACAACAUCAUCCAUUGCAUUAAAUAUAUAAUUUCAAUACAAGCGUGUUCUGUACAGUUAUAGACACCAAAAUAAUGUAAAACAAAAUAAUAUGAGAUGAGUCUUGAAUACGCUCCAUCUUCUCAAAAGCUGGCCUCGGUACCUGUCUACUGAUGACCUGAGAAUACAAGUUAUUUUGAAAGAGUUUAUCAGCAUUAAGCUGGUGAGUUCAUAAGUAUUUUAGUGUCAAUGUUUGAUGUCAAAACGUUUGAACCUGACGCAAGUAUAAGUUGAAAAUGUAUGUAAGUGUUUGAUAGUGUUUGUAAAAGUUUGAAUCUCUCAGAAAAUCCUAUAUUUUCUAUUAAAGUAACCUUCUACCAAGGCUUAACUGUUUUGUAUACUCGUUUGUUGUAAAAGUAUGUGAUUUCCCAAGUGUAACUAUCAUUUAAUAAAAUAUAGUAUGUACAUUAAUGCUUAAGUGAGGUUAUCACUAAAAUAUGUAAUGGGUAAAUCAUUGUAGUACUGUAGUUUUGUAUAAUAAGAACUACUGUUGUACUAACUACCUUAAACCGGAUUUAUAUUAAGGUAAAAUGUGAUAAAUUGCACCAUGCUAUCGACUGGUAACAACGACAUAAUGAAUGGUCGUAAUAAAGAAAUGACGUUUGGCACCCGCAGACCUGCAAGUCCGGCUGUAGCUAGCAGCAAGGUGUAGGAUAGUCAAUCCAGUAUAGAUCUAUACGCAAACUCACGCUCUCCCUCCAAGAGAAUUCUGGCUACAACUCGGGCCAUGACAUUUAAGGCAUGCUCCGACACAGUGGAUCACAAUUGUUAACGUAUUCAUGUAUAUGUAAUGUUUCUCUUUCUAGUAUAGCUGUAUAUGUACUUGUUUCUAGUAUAGUUGUAUAUGUACUUGUUUCUAGUAUAGCUGUAUAUGUACUUGUUUCUAGUAUAGCUGUAUAUGUACUUGGUUCUAGUAUAGCUGUAUAUGUACUUGUUUCUAGUAUAGCUGUAUAUGUACUUGUUUCUAGUAUAGCUGUAUAUGUACUUGUUUCUAGUAUAGCUGUAUAUGUACUUGUUUCUAGUAUAGCUGUAUAUGUACUUGUUUCUAGUAUAGCUGUAUAUGUACAUGUUUCUAGUAUAGCUGUAUAUGUACUUGUUUCUAGUAUAGCUGUAUAUGUACUUGUUUCUAGUAUAGCUGUAUAUGUACUUGUUUCUAGUAUAGCUGUAUAUGUUCCUGUGUUACCCCGAUGGUAACUAACUAUUGAUGUACUGAUAAGUAUGAAUAUGGAAGUACUUUUAUGUCUAUACAUGUAUAUAUGAUAUAUAAGUAAUAUGGAAACGACCUUCGGAUGGUCACCCGAAAUCCCACCAGACCACAUCCAAAUCGAGAAAAAGGAAAUAGGGCGGAUGGCCUUCCUAAGCCCUUUAAACAUUAUUUAUACAUCUAUACAUAUAUGGGCAUGCAAUUGAAUAUAUAAAAGCAUAAAAUAAGUUUUCAUAAAACAUUUGAAGCAUAAAUAUUAUUUCAAGAAAAGAUCGACUUGAUGUCAAUCUUUAAAACAAUUAGAAGGCAUAAGUUAAUAAAACAGUUUAAGUAUAAGAAGCAUUUGUUUGAAUCACAGUCUGUAAAUAAGUUUGGAUAGUAAAAGAGUUUGUAAAACAUUUCAAAGUAAAGCAGUUUGAUAAACAGUUUGAACAGUGGUAAAAAUCGUUGUUUUCCUAGUUAUUAAUCACAUGUGAUUAAAUGCAAUCACAUGUGAUUGAAGCAAUAACUAUAAGUAUUUGACUGUUAUCCCCCCCCAUAAAGUAUUUAAAACAUUUAAAAUCAUUUCAAAGGUUGAUUCAAGGGGUAUGAACUCACUUGUGGUGAGUUGUACGAAUUGCAGUGUCGGAUACCGUGCUAGGUGGCAAACGGAGACUUGUUUACACGCACGAGCCUAGUUAUCAUAUAAUAAGCAUAUAUAUAACUAAUUAGACAAAUAAUAACUUAAUAAAUAAGUUAAAACACUUAGGAACAUGUAAACACUUUUUAUAAGUGUUAAAGGUCCUAAUGGUUGCAUCUAAGUUGCUACGGGACAAGGCAAAAGGGUUUGAAACAUCAAAUGGCCUUGCAUAAGAGUUCACCACCCAACAAACCCCACCCUUUGGAGUUUACGGCCGUAAACUCAUGGGUUUAUGGCCGUGAACUCCUCACAUGGUGGUUUUGGGUGUUUUAAAGUGUUAUCUUGAUCCUAGAACACUCCUAGCUUUGUUGGAAUAAUACAUGAAGUAGUUUAAGGCCCUAGAAUGCUCCAUAGGGGAGUUUACGGCCUAUAGUCCAUAUACCCUAGAGUUUACGGCCGUAAACUCCUAUGGGGUGAUGGCUUUUAAUUCAUUUGAGGCACUUGCACAUCAAGGAUAGCUUCCAUGAUUUUAUCUAAGGCUAAUGGGGACAAGAGGCACACAUUUGUGCCUUCACUUGGAGUUUACGGCCCAAGAGGUGUUCCUUGGCCGUAAACUCCCUUUAAGGGAUGUUCUUGAUGUCUUUUACUCCCCAUUCAAGUCCUAGGUGUUCAAUGGUAAUUGUCUUAAGGCCUUAGGGGUGUUUGGAGUGCUUUUAACCCUUGGAAAAGGGGUUUACGGCCCAAGAGAUGUUCUUGGCCGUAAACUCCUAUAAACUUAUGAUUUUGAAGUGUUUUGAUGUCUAAAAUAGGUACAAGCAUUUGAGGGUUAAAGUCCUUAAGCUUUAGGGGUAGUUUAGGGCACUAAAUGCCCUUGAAAAGGGGUUUACGGCCCAAGAAAAGUCCUUGGCCGUAAACUCCUAUUACUUGUUGAUUUUGGAUGCUUUCUAGUCUCUAAAGAUCAUACACAAGGUCCUUAAUAAGUUGCUUAACAAGGGAAUGGGUCUAGGUAGCCUUAAAGCUCCAUUUUGGAGUUUACUCCCCAAGAACGUUCUUGGGCGGUAAACUCCCGGAUCUUGUAAUCUAAACAUGUAAUUGAUGUUAUAAAGCAUCUAACAAGUAUUGAAACACAUUUAGUAAAGUAGACUCACAAUCUGGGAUGAAAACCCGAAGAUCCGUCAGAGAGAAAAUGGCUUUUCUCUAUUUGGAAUUGUGAAUAAUGAAUUAAUUUAAUUCAGAAAACUAUUUAUAGUCCUGAAAUAUUUUGGCAGAAAAUAUUUUUAUUCCUGAUAUAGGACUUUAACAUUAUGAAACUUGGAAUGCUCAAAUUUCACAAAACCAGGAGCAUCCACUCUCCUGAUAACUCCUUAAACAUAAACCCUAAUGUACACAAACUGGUUCGGAAAAGUGUGAAAAUCACCGAAACUGGACUAGCUUCUAUUGAAUAGAUAAUGUUCGUACAAAAGGAAAUUUCGGGUUGUCACAUCAUCCCCCUGUUAGAGGGAAUUUCGUCCCGAAAUUAGAAUUUAAGCAAUUAUGAAGUUACAACAAUUAAGCGAAAACUUGAGGGUAUUUCAGCUUCAUCUGAUCCUUGCGUUCCCAAGUGAAUUCCGGUCCUCGCUUGGCGUUCCAGCGAACCUUCACGAUAGGGAUACGACUUUGUUUCGUCUGCUUGACCUCAGGUCCAUGAUCUCUACAGGUUCUUCCACGAAGUUGAGGCUCUCGUUGAUCUCGAUCUCGUCGAGUGGGAUUACAAGAGUCUCGUCGGACAGACACUUUUUCAAGUUAGAUACGUGGAAUGUAGAAUGUACGUUACGAAGUGCGUCUGGUAGUUCGAGUUUGUAAGCUACGGGGCCGACUCUUGCAAGAAUCUCGAAAGGCCCUAUGUACCUCGGAUUAAGCUUUCCACGCUUGCCGAAGCGUAUCAAGCCCUUCCAGGGUGAGACUUUGAGGAGGACUCGGUCUCCCACCUGAAAUUCCAAAGGUUUCCUUCGUUUAUCAGCGUAGCUCUUCUGUCGGUCUCUAGAGGCUUUCAAUCGUUCACGGAUCUGAACGAUUUUCUCUGUUGUUUCCCGAAUGAUCUCCGGACCGGUGAGAGUACUGUCGGAAGUUUGCCCCCUGGCUAAUUGGGUAUCACCCACCUCAGCCCAGCACAGAGGGGAUCUGCACUUACGGCCGUAGAGAGCUUCAAAUGGAGCAGCCUUGAUGCUCGUGUGAUAACUGUUAUUAUAGGAAAACUCGACAAGGGGUAAAUGAGUAUCCCAUGCCUUCCCAAAGUCAAUCACGCAGGCUCGCAACAUAUCUUCUAGAGUUUGGAUGGUCCUCUCACUCUGUCCGUCGGUCUGAGGAUGGUAGGCUGUGCUCAUGUCCAGCCUCGUUCCUAGGGAAUGUUGUAGUGAUUGCCAAAAUCUUGAGGUGAACCUACUAUCUCUAUCGGAGAUAAUGGACAUAGGUACACCAUGUAGCCGUACGAUUUCCCUAAUGUAUGUUCUCGUAAGCUUCUCCAUCUUGUCGGUUUCUUUGAUAGGCAGGAAGUGUGCAGACUUGGUCAAUCUAUCAACGAUGACCCAUAUGGUGUCAAGUCCACCCGUUGUCUUGGGCAACUUGGUUAUGAAAUCCAUAGUGAUCCGCUCCCACUUCCAUUCCGGGAUCUCUGGUUGCUGCAAUAAACCAGAGGGCUUCUGGUACUCGACCUUAACCUUUGCGCAAGUAAGGCAUUUACUUACGAAGGUAGCAAUCUCUGCUUUCAUAUUAGGCCACCAGUAUAGCUUCUUAAGAUCCAGAUACAUCUUAUCUGAACCUGGGUGGACGGAAUACCGAGUGUUGUGCGCCUCGGUCAUGACCAAGUCUCGGAAGCCACCAUGUUUCGGUGUCCAGAUCCGGUUCAUGAAAUAUAAAGCUCCGUCACCCUUGGCUUCUAAAUUCUUGUCCAUUCCUCUAAGGGAUUCACUUGACACAUUUUCAGAUUUCAUGGCCUCAAGUUGAGCCGCCUGAAUUUGCUUAGUCAGGUGUGAAUGGAUGGUUAUCGAUAAUGACUUGACUUUGCGACCAGAAUAUUCCUUCCGACUUAGGGCGUCUGCUACUACGUUGGCUUUACCCGGAUGAUAACGAAUAUCGCAUUCGUAAUCACUGAGUAGCUCGACCCACCGUCGUUGUCUCAUGUUGAGCUCCUUCUGAUCGAAAAUGUGUUGUAAACUCUUGUGGUCGGUAAAGAUAGUGCUCUUCGUUCCAUACAAGUAAUGUCUCCAGAUCUUCAGAGCAAACACUACUGCUCCUAGUUCAAGAUCGUGGGUCGUGUAGUUAACCUCGUGUGUCUUCAACUGUCUCGAGGCGUAGGCGAUGACCUUACCUCGCUGCAUCAGAACACAUCCGAGUCCUUGAUUGGAUGCAUCGCAAUAGACUACGAAGUCUUCUAUUCCUUCGGGAAGGGAUAGUAUUGGUGCGGUGCACAAGGCUCGUUUGAGCGUUUGGAACGCUCUUUCUUGUUUCUCUUCCCAGUCAAAGGCCACGCCUUUCUGGGUUAGGGUUGUAAGAGGCUUCGCUAUUCGUGAGAAGUUCUGAAUGAACCUGCGGUAGUAGCCAGCGAGACCUAGAAAUUGACGAAUUUCUGUAGGAGUCUUCGGUGCUGACCAGUUCUCAAUGGCCUUAAUUUUGGAUGGGUCCACGUGGAUUCCCUCUUCGCUUACCACGUGUCCUAAGAAUUCGACUCUUCGGAUCCAAAAUUCACAUUUCGAGAACUUCGCAUAAAGUUUCUCCUUUCGUAAUGUCUCUAGAACUUGUCGCAGAUGAUCACCAUGCUCUUUCUUACUUCGGGAGUAGAUCAGGAUGUCGUCAAUGAAAACGAUGACGAACUGAUCUAAGUAAGGUCGGCAUACUCUAUUCAUCAGAUCCAUGAAGACUGCGGGCGCAUUGGUCAAUCCGAAUGGCAUCACCACGAACUCGUAGUGUCCGUAACGAGUUCGGAAGGCUGUCUUCGGCACAUCCUCCUCUAGCACUCGUAACUGGUGAUAUCCGGAUCUCAGAUCAAUCUUGGAAAAAUAGUUCGCCCCUUGCAGUUGGUCGAAUAGAUCGUCUAUGCGUGGCAGAGGGUAACGAUUUUUGAUCGUCAAUUUGUUGAGUUCUCUGUAGUCAAUACACAUACGGAAUGAUCCGUCUUUCUUCUUAACGAACAAGACCGGUGCUCCCCAAGGUGAGAAACUUGGUCUUAUAAAGCCCUUGCUGAGCAGUUCGUUAAGUUGACCAGAGAGUUCUUGCAUCUCGGCUGGUGCUAAACGGUAGGGCGACUUGGCUACUGGGGUAGCUCCUGGGACUAAGUCGAUUCUGAACUCGACUUGUCGUUGCGGAGGUAACCCGGGUAGUUCUUCUGGGAAAAUGUCGGGGAAGUCGCUCACUACUGGGAGGUUCUUUAGUUCUUUCGUUUCUAGGUUCGUGUCGACGACGUGAGCAAGGAAUGCGUGGUAUUCUUUGCGCAGAUAUUUCUGUGCUUGAAUACUAGAUAUAAUGCGAAGACUCGCACCAGGUUUGUCGCCGUAGACUAUAAGAGUUUCGUUAGACGGGAGGUUUAGUCGGACUGCUUUCUCGUAGCACAUGAUGUCGGCGCGAUGAAGACUUAACCAAUCCAUGCCGAUAAUAACGUCGAAACUUUUUAUUGAGACCGGCAUAAGGUCGAUUGGGAAUGAAUGGUUAUCUAAGGUUAGAAGACAACCUAAGUAUAUGCUAUUAGUACUUUCAGUUUUCCCAUUGGCCAUUUCUACUGUGAAUUGUUCAUUAAGUGCGUGUGGUUGUUGCUUAAGCAUGCGAGCAAAUUUGUGGUUUACGAAGCUUCGCUCCGCUCCACUAUCGAACAGAAUGCAUGCAUAGGAGUUAUCAAGGAGGAACGUACCAGUCACCACUGUCGGGUCAGCAACUGCUUCCCCGUGGCCUAUUGCUAGUACCCUCCCUGCUCCUCCAGUAUUCCUCGCCUUGGGGCAGUCCCUUUUAAAGUGGCCUGUUUCGCCACAUCCAUAGCAAGUUGGGCUCGCGCCUGAGCCAGGAACUUGGGAGAUCGGUUGUGCCGGGAACUUACAGAAUCGGACGGUGUGUCCUUUUCUGUUGCAGUUAGAACACUGCAUUUCACGACAGGCGCCGUUGUGGUGGAAGUUGCAUUUGUUGCACUUCGGCAAACUUCCAGCAUACUGCUUCCCCGGAGCAGUAACAGCAGUAGGGGUUACCGCAGCAUGUACUGCCACGAUUUGCUGUUUCUUUGAAGCUCGCUGCUUCUUCUUCUCAUCCCAAAACUUCCGCUUGGUGCCAGCGGGUUUAGAGGGUUCUGGGAUGGCUAGGGUGGUUGUGGUUGCAGGGGUCUUGACUCCAUGGUCAAUGAGUCUUUGUGCCAAACGCUUGGCACUGUCGAAGGUAGCGGGGUUGGAUGCUAAGACAUUCCCCUGGUACGGAGGCACUAGCCCCCAUACGUACCGUUCGAUCUUUUUCCCUUCAGUGGGAACCAUAUUGGGGCAUAGGGUCACCAGUUCGCUAAAUCGGGCAGUGUAAGCGAUCACAUUGGCGCCCUUUAUGGUCAGGUUCCAGAGUUCAUGUUCUAACUUCUGGACUUCACCCCUCGGGCAGUAUUCCUCAGUCAUGAGGUCCUUCAUCGUUUCCCAGCCCAUGUCGUUAGCCAGGACGAGAGUUAGGGCUUUAACGUGGCCGUUCCACCACGUUAGGGCUUUUCCCUCAAAGGUGCAUGCGGCAUAUUUCACUUUGCACGCAGCAGGGCAUGAACAGAUUUCGAAGACUGAUUCAGUCUUCUCGAACCAUUGCGAGAGGGCAAUGACUCCGCCGGUGCCAUAGAAAGGCUUCGGCUUGCAGUUUGUGAAAUCCUUGUAGGAGCACUCUCUUGAGCGCACAGGGAUUUCGAUCGGAAUAGAUUCCACAGGGGUUCCACCUCUGCUGGCAUCUGAUGAGUGAUACUGAGCCAUGGCAGUUGCCACUGCUGCAGCUACGGCAGCAUUCAGGGUUGCAGUAUCGAUGACCGGAGGCGGUGGAGGCGGUGGAGGUGCAGGAUUAUUCCUAUUCCUGGGAGAUUUGCGAGGAGGCAUCUUUCAGCUAUAAGUUUAUAAAGAUAAGAAAGAUGGUAAGAAUCAAUUUGUAAGCAACGUGAGAGUGACACAUGGACUAACUAACCAUAGCCCAACAGUUGAACGAGUGUUUGAAAUCACAAUAAGAAAUAUUAGUGGGAAUACACAAGUGUACAAAUUUCUCAUAGAUUAGAUAGACUUCAAUAGUACGGGUAUUACUAAUGUAAUAAGUUCAAGGAAAAUCGACCUAACAAUAGGUCUUACAUCAUACCAAUAGGAUAAGUCCGACAGUUCUUAGAUUCCUAAUUAGAGUACUGAAAGUUAGGAAUAUUUUACAGACAAGUGCUACAUAGAGCACAAAUGUUUAAAGGCUAAUCCCUAAUCAAAAGACAGAGAUGUACUAGACAUCAUCUAAUGGCGAUGGGAAUUCCUCGGGCGAGCCCUGAGGUCGGACACUUGGCGAAACACCUCUUGAAGGUGUCGAUCCUGAGCUCUCUGACGAGCUCGAAGUUCUAAGACUUCAGCACGGGAGGCAGCCAGCUGUUGCUGCAGAGUUUCGUUGGUUCUCCGGGUCCGUUCCAUGUCUUCUUCAAGACGGCGGAUGCGGACUGUGUUGACACCUGAAUUGGCAUCAAUCUCCAUGACCCGGUCGAUGGCUGCUCGACCUUGCUCGACAUUUCAAGCUAUUCUGCGGAUAAUGACAGGUAGAGCUCUGUCAGCAGAGCCACCAUCACUAACGUUGUAAAAGGUUCGGUCCCCAAAGUAUGGUAAGGGUUGACCCUGCUCAUCACUCCAGUGAUUCAGGUCGUUUGCCCACAUGGGAGUAGGACCUAGAAAAUCUGGUCGAGGGUUGUUAUUCGGGGAUUGACCUACAAGCGGUAGGUUGUUGACUUCAGGCUCGGAGUCGGAUCCACCAGAAAAGCCUUCUGCGAGGUGAUCAUCCAAAGGGAUUGGAUGCUCAUCUUCGGGCUCUUCAUCGAUCCACCCGGCAUUGCCUUCAUUGGGAAAGUACGGGUCGCCAUGAUGGAAUCCAGCCAUUUAGAUCUACGCGAGAAGAGAGGUAUAAGAAUAUAGUAUACGUGUAACUAGUAGUACAAAAUACACCUAUAGUAUUUUAAGUUUAAGUUCUACUGAUCUUCUUGUGGUAUUGUUGGUAAGUUUUUAGACUUGUUAACAUAUCACAACCAUUCUAGGGCAUAUGCUAAUCACUCCUAGGACCAGCAUAGUUGAUCAGGCUAUGCCAUUCCCAGGACUGACCAUACAUCCCCGAGCUCACUUGUGAUAUUUAACAAUCGUAAUACUUUUGUUCUUGUCAUUGUGACACUGAUUUUAGUAUGAAUGCAGACUAGUAUACUUAAUUAAAUAUUUUAAUAUUUAAAGUAUAGACUCUUGGUCAGAGUGUUUUAGUCCCUUUUGGGUUUAUAGAUUAGUAUAUCUUUUAUGGGUUGAUAUACUUGAUUCACUAUAAACAAUGCUCUGAUACCAAUCUGUCACACCCCAAAACCAAGAACGGCGGAAACGUUCUGGGGCGGAGGACGUCAUGUAUAGUAUCACAACACAGUAAAUGUAAAUAAGCAAACAACAUCAUCCAUUGCAUUAAAUAUAUAAUUUCAAUACAAGCGUGUUCUGUACAGUUAUAGACACCAAAAUAAUGUAAAACAAAAUAAUAUGAGAUGAGUCUUGAAUACGCUCCAUCUUCUCAAAAGCUGGCCUCGGUACCUGUCUACUGAUGACCUGAGAAUACAAGUUAUUUUGAAAGAGUUUCUCAGCAUUAAGCUGGUGAGUUCAUAAGUAUUUUAGUGUCAAUGUUUGAUGUCAAAACGUUUGAACCUGACGCAAGUAUAAGUUGAAAAUGUAUGUAAGUGUUUGAAAGUGUUUGUAAAACUUUGAAUCUCUCAGAAAAACCUAUAUUUUCUAUUAAAGUAACCUUCUACCAAGGGUUAGCUGUUUUGUAUACUCGUUUGUUGUAAAAGUAUGUAAUUUCCCAAGUGUAACUAUCAUUUAAUAAAAUAUAGUAUGUACAUUAAUGCUUAAGUGAGGUUAUCACUAAAAUAUGUAAUGGGUAAAUCAUUGUAGUACUGUAGUUUUGUAUAAUAAGAACUACUGUUGUACUAACUACCUUAAACCGGAUUUAUAUUAAGGUAAAAUGUGAUAAAUUGCACCAUGCUAUCGACUGGUAACAACGACAUACGAAUGGUCGUAAUAACGGAAUGACGUUUGGCACCCGCAGACCUGCAGGUCCGGCUGUAGCUAGCAGCAAGGUGUAGGAUAGUCAAUCCAGUAUAGAUCUAUAC